GCUGGUGUAAGUGAUGACUGAAUUUUUUCCCCAUCAGAGCGACAGUGUUGAUUUCUCACUGUUUUUUAAGCCAGAUGUCUGAUGCACCAGC
rnacentral:snoRNA from 1 species